rnacentral:rRNA from 1 species
CGCCCUUAGUUGGAUCCUCGCAUUCAUGUAAACGAACGCUUCGGCGGCAGGCUUAACACAUGCAAGUCCGAACGCCCCGCAAGGGGGAGUGGGCAGUACGGGUGAGUAACGCGUGGGAACAUACCCUUUCCUGCGGAAUAGCUCCGGGAAACUGGAAUUAAUACCGCAUACGCCCUACGGGGGAAAGAUUUAUCGGGGAAGGAUUGGCCCGCGUUGGAUUAGCUAGUUGGUGGGGUAAAGGCCUACCAAGGCGACGAUCCAUAGCUGGUCUGAGAGGAUGAUCAGCCACAUUGGGACUGAGACACGGCCCAAACUCCUACGGGAGGCAGCAGUGGGGAAUAUCGGACAAUGGGCGCAAGCCUGAUCCAGCCAUGCCGCGUGAGUGAUGAAGGCCUUAGGGUUGUAAAGCUCUUUCACCGGAGAAGAUAAUGACGGUAUCCGGAGAAGAAGCCCCGGCUAACUUCGUGCCAGCAGCCGCGGUAAUACGAAGGGGGCUAGCGUUGUUCGGAAUUACUGGGCGUAAAGCGCACGUAGGCGGAUAUUUAAGUCAGGGGUGAAAUCCCAGAGCUCAACUCUGGAACUGCCUUUGAUACUGGGUAUCUUGAGUAUGGAAGAGGUGGGUGGAAGGCCCAAGUGGCAAAGGUGAAUU